rnacentral:lncRNA from 1 species
ACAUUGGUACCGCAAGAAGAAUAGUCGGUGAUAUGACCCUGCCACAGGGAACAUGUGGCCAUAGUUCCUGGCUGUUGAGUUGAAUCUGAUAAAUUGAAAUAACAUAAGAUAUGAACAAUAUUUGGUUUUGACACUGCAUGUUUUCAUGACUGAAUUAUGAAAUAAAGAACUAAUUGAACUUCGACCUGGCUAUGUUGAGGACCCCGCCAAUGGGGGCAGAUACGUUGGCAAUUGAUUGUCCUGAAGGACUCACCGCAAGAAGAAUAGUCGGUGUUGAUGACCCUGCC